AUCCUGUGUCACAAUAGGUCAGUGUGUCUGGCUGUUAACCAGAAGGUUGAUGGUUUGAGCCCACUCAGGGAUG
rnacentral:tRNA from 1 species